CUUAUCUCAUUUCGGACCUCUCAGUUUAUGUGAACACCAGGCGGGGAACCACCAAGCCCAUGGCUACGUGUCAGGAACAGCACAUCUCUUUCUAUAUCAAGGUGAAUGGAUUAAACAAAACACUGCUGACUUAGCAGUAAAUAAGCGAGAAGGAAAGAUCUUACCCUGGACUGUGGAUAAACAUCAUUCAUUCUGCAGGCUCAGCGCCAACAGACUACCUCGCAGCUCCAUUUAUCUGACACUUUAGGGGCUACACUUAGAUAAGCAAGGAUAAUUGAAGCAAUUUUCAACAUCUUCACCAAACAAGCCAGAGGCAUAACCUUAUUUUUGAUAAUAGGUAAAUGAGAUUCAAAUGAGCAUUAUUAUUAUUAUUUUUUAACUGUGAGCAUGAUUAAUUACUGGAGCAAAUUAGCAGGGGAAGUGAUAGCUCUUCCAACACUUCAAGUCUUCAGUCCGAUGCCUGACCGAAGGACAUUCCUUAGCUAAAGACAAAUUUAGGAGCUUCAUACAAUUGUGUUGAAACUCUAUGGCUCGUGUAAUGGAUUUUAGAUGAGGUGAUCUUAAAACUUUAGUGUAAUUGUAUAUGUAUGAUUUUUACUUUUUUUUUUUUUUUUUGAGCUUUUGCUGGCUGUAAUUUCAGUAUCAUCAAUGUGAACUAAAUCCCUAUAAAAGUGCUAAGACUGA